GACGAACGCUGGCGGCGUGCCUAAUACAUGCAAGUUGAGCGCUGAAGGUUGGUACUUGUACCAACUGGAUGAGCAGCGAACGGGUGAGUAACGCGUGGGGAAUCUGCCUUUGAGCGGGGGACAACAUUUGGAAACGAAUGCUAAUACCGCAUAAAAACUUUAAACACAAGUUUUAAGUUUGAAAGAUGCAAUUGCAUCACUCAAAGAUGAUCCCGCGUUGUAUUAGCUAGUUGGUGAGGUAAAGGCUCACCAAGGCGAUGAUACAUAGCCGACCUGAGAGGGUGAUCGGCCACAUUGGGACUGAGACACGGCCCAAACUCCUACGGGAGGCAGCAGUAGGGAAUCUUCGGCAAUGGACGAAAGUCUGACCGAGCAACGCCGCGUGAGUGAAGAAGGGUUUCGGAUCGUAAAACUCUGUUGGUAGAGAAGAACGUUGGUGAGAGUGGAAAGCUCAUCAAGUGACGGUAACUACCCAGAAAGGGACGGCUAACUACAUG
rnacentral:rRNA from 1 species